AUUGAACGCUGGCGGCAGGCCUAACACAUGCAAGUCGAGCGAGUGGCGGACGGGUGAGUAAUGUCUGGGGAACUGCCCGAUAGAGGGGGAUAACUACUGGAAACGGUGGCUAAUACCGCAUACACUCAGAUGAACCCAUAUGGGAUUAGCUAGUAGGUGGGGUAAAGGCUCACCUAGGCGAAGAUCCCUAGCUGGUCUGAGAGGAUGAUCAUCCACACUGGAACUGAGACACGGCCCAGACUCCUACGGGAGGCAGGAGUGGGGAAGAUUGCACAACAGGCGCUAGCCUGAUGCACCCAUGCCGCGUGUAUGAAGAAGGCCUUAGGGUUGUAAAGUACUUGCUGCGGGGAGGCGGUACCCGCAGAAGAAGCUCCAGCUAACUCCGUGCCAGCAGCCGCGGUAAUUC
rnacentral:rRNA from 1 species